rnacentral:rRNA from 1 species
GACGGGGGAUGCAAGUGUUAUCCGGAAUCACUGGGCGUAAAGCGUUUGUAGGUGGUUUAGUAAGUCUAUUAUUAAAGCUUGAAGCUCAACUUCAAAAAUGUAAUAGAAACUACUAGACUUGAGGAUAGUAGGGGUAAAGGGAAUUUCCAGUGGAGCGGUGAAAUGCGUAGAGAUUGGAAGGACCACCGAUGGCGAAGGCACUUUACUGGGCUAUUUCUGACACUAAGAGACGAAAGCUAGGGUAGCGAAUGGG